rnacentral:rRNA from 1 species
AUUGAACGCUGGCGGCAGGCCUAACACAUGCAAGUCGAGCGAGCGGCGGACGGGUGAGUAACGCCUGGGAAACUGCCCGAUGGAGGGGGGUAACUACUGGAAACGGUAGCCUAUACCGCGUACCAUUAGAUGUGACCAGAUGGGCUUAGCUAGUAGGUGGGGUAACGGCUCACCAAGGCGACGAUCCCUAGCUGGUCUGAGAGGAUGACCAGCCACACUGGAACUGAGACACGGUCCAGACUCCUACGGGAGGCAGCAGUGGGGAAUAUUGCACAAUGGGCGCAAGCCUGAUGCAGCCAUGCCGCGUGUAUGAAGAAGGCCUUCGGGUUGUAAAGUACGUUCAGCGGGGAGGCGGUACCCGCAGAAGAAGCACCGGCUAACUCCGUGCCAGCAGCCGCGGUAAUAC